UUCGCAAUGCCCGAAAGGGUGACGAAGCGACGCCGCGUGGGUGAGGAAGGCCUUCGGGUUGUAAAGCCCUGUCAGGAGUUAAGAAAUGUAAGUGCGCUAAUAUCGCAUUUAUUUGACGAAGGCUCCAAAGGAAGUCACGGCUAACUCUGUGCCAGCAGCCGCGGUAAUACAGAGGUGGCAAGCGUUGUUUGGAAUUAUUGGGCGUAAAGAGCACGUAGGUGGGUUUGCAAGUCAGAUGUGAAAGCCUCCUGUUCAACGGGAGAAUUGCAUCUGAAACUGCAGAUCUUGAGUGUAGGAGGGGAGAAUGGAACUUCUGGUGGAGCGGUGAAAUGCGUAGAUAUCAGAGGGAACGCCGGCGGCGAAAGCGAUUCUCUGGCCUAUUACUGACACUCAGUGUGCGAAAGCUAGGGGAGCAAACGGGAUUAGAUACCCCGGUAGUCCUAGCCGUAAACGAUGGGCACUAAGUAGAGGGGUUUU
rnacentral:rRNA from 2 species